rnacentral:rRNA from 1 species
GAACCGUACAAACGUUAUUCGGGAAUCACUGGGGCUUAAAGGGUGCGUAGGCGGUCCGGCAAGUUGGGUGUGAAAUCCCUCGGCUCAACCGAGGGAACUGCGCUCAAAACUGCCGGACUCGAGGGAGACAGAGGUGAGCGGAACUUGCGGUGGAGCGGUGAAAUGCGUUGAUAUCGCAAGGAACACCAGUAGCGAAAGCGGCUCACUGGGUCUCUUCUGACGCUCAGGCACGAAAGCUAGGGGAGCGAACGGGAUUAGAUACCCCGGUAGUCCUAGCUGUAAACGAUGAGCACUAGGUUGGAGGCUCCUCCAUAGGCUUCCAGCCGGAGCGAAAGUGUUAAGCGCUCCGCCUGGGGAGUAUGGUCGCAAAGGCUG